AUGUCGACGCUGCUGCCCGGCGAGGGCAUGGCGAGGGUGCGCCGCAAGAAGGACUUCCGCCACAUGGAGCGCGUCGACGGCCGCAUGCUCAACGUGCUCCAGGGCCUCGAGCUCCACGCCAACGUCUUCUCCCCCGACGAGCAGGCCAAGAUCGUCACCUGCGUCCUCGACCUCCAGGACCAAGGCCGCCGCGGCCGCCUCCGAGAGCGGACCUACUCGGAGCCGCGCAAGUGGAUGCGUGGCAAGGGCCGGGCGACGAUCCAGUUCGGCUGCUGCUACAACUACGCCGCCGACCGGGACGCCAACCCGCCGGGUAUCGUGCGGGACGAGUCCGUCGACCCGCUGCCGCUCCUCCUCGCCGCCAUGGCGCGCCGCCUCGUGCUCUGGCGCGUGCUCCCGCCGACCUGCGUGCCUGACAGCUGCAUCGUCAACGUUGUUGUUGCCGCUCUCUCUCACGUCGGACUAGAGGACAUGCGGGUGGUCGCCCCCGGGGAGUUCUCCGCCGCCACCUCCAUCCCGCUGCCUGUGGGGUCCGUGCUCGUGCUCAACGGCAACGGCGCCGACGCCGCCAAGCACUGCGUCCCCGCCGUGCCGGCCAAGAGGACUCCAUCACGUUCAGGAAGAUGGACGCCUCCAAUUAAGGUCCCGUUCGGCUUCCGGCCCGACCCGCUGCUGCAGAGCCUCGCGGCUGCUGCGGUCCGGCCGGCGGCUGCUAGGAGCGCGCCCCCUAGCAGAGCAGCCUGGGAGCAGAGCAAUGGCGAGGCGGCGAAGCAUGCGACACCACUGCAGCACCAACCGGCAGCGCCUCUGUACCAGGCUGCUGCUGCCAGGGCGGGACAGACAAAGUCACGGAGCCCCGGCGGCGGCGGCCCUUUCAGCCUCUCCACCGAUGAGUUCCCGGCGCUUGGUGCCUCGCCGGCCAGCGGACGACGGCCGGGAAGGAGAUAA
rnacentral:rRNA from 1 species